UUGCAUAUUACAGGGCAACAUCUCCAUUGGCAGGCUGCAUACUUAUUACAUCCAUCUCAUAUAUACGUAUGUUCUUCAGUCAGUGUGCCUUCUGCCAAAGGAGAUUUGCCCGGCAAUUCCUCU
rfam:Citrus sinensis cultivar Ridge Pineapple sweet orange scaffold00007_contig_71, whole genome shotgun sequence.